ACACUGAGCUGUGUAUUUUGGGCCCCUCUGAAGGGCCAUUUCUGGUGAAAUACCAGGUUUUGAAAUACUUCACUCCUUGUUUGCAUUCGGAAGCCCAUACAUGCUCAGGUCUCUCAAAGCCUGUGUUCAGAGAGGCUGGAGGUAACGCGGGCGACAGAAUCAGACUCUAGUGGGGGAACACAGUGGCCCUCUACUCUUGGGCUGGGCCUACAGGAGCCACUGGAGGUGGAAGAGGGAGCUUGCUCUCACGGAGUCCACCUCUGGCUGGGAAGAGCAGACGAAGGCAUGCAGAGGAUGGGCUCCAUCCCGAGGGUUCCAGAUUUCCUGGCUGGAAAUACGUCUUCCAUGCCCCCGAGCCUUUGCCCUCCCUCCAUGUGAGCAGCUUUACAGCCUCCAACCCCUGCUGCCCACAGCAAACCAGAGCUGCAAACACUGAUUGGCCCUCACUCUGCACAGGCCCUGGAGGGACCCCAGAAGCUGUGAAACCUGGUCCCAGCCCUCAAGGCCUCCACUCACUGAACACUGAAGGCGAAAAGUUAAAUGACCAUGAUAGAGAUGAGUGAGAGGUUAAGUCAGAAAUGAGAGACUGUCGCAGCCCAGAAUUGUCAAAUGGAUGUGCCAACGAUACAUGCUGCAAAUGUCGGCAGCCCUGAAGCAGAGGUGGUCUUCACUGAGGGUGAGAAACUGGUGCUGUCAGAGAGCGUAUGAGGGGCCCAAAGUCACACUGCCUCUGGGUGUGUGCAUGUGGAGCCAGGAUUUGAUCCUGGGCAGAACAAACCCCAAGUGCCACCAGGUGCAGUCGAUCACAUGAUGACCCCCAUUUUACUGAUGAGAAAACUGGGACCUAGAGAGGUUGAGUAACCUGUCCAAGACACCUGGAUGAUAAGCCGGACCCAGCCGACAAGCCCAGCCAGUUUGAUGCCAGAAUCCUCUUACCUGACCUCUGUGCCUGCCAUCCCAGCUGCUAGAGUGAAGGGCCAGCCUUUCCUCACUGCAGGAUGGACCCCAGGCCUCUCUCUGGGUUUCCAGAUCCUACUCUGAAGAUGAGGAGAUGACAUUUAGCACCAGCCCUCUCUAAUUGGCUCUAAGAGGAAUCGGUGUUCCCUGAUGGUUCAGAAGUCAAAAGGGUUAACUGUAGCUUUAUUCCCCUUUCAAAGGAAAUAAAGCAGAAGUCCUAUUUGGGGAUAGGCCCUAUGCCUGAGUCACUUUGGCACUUAAUUGCUAUUAUUUAAUUGCUGUAUUGGGGAGGACAAAGUGAUCUACUGCAAAGUUAUUAGCAAAUUCUAGUUUUAAGGAAAUAAUUACUGAAUUCUCCCUCCCUGGGUUGAGUAAUUCCUUCCAAGAUGCUCAGUGACAUUAAGCAUUUUCACUAGGGCCGCUAGCAGCUCUGUAAUAUGCAAAUAAAGUAACUCUGUAAUUACCAAUAAAAUGCUUACUGAAGU